rnacentral:lncRNA from 1 species
UGUUCAAGCCGCAUCGCAAGGAGGGAUGCUCCCUUCCUUUUAUUUGUUAUGUUUCUUCUUGGACACUCUAUUUUGUGACUAGGGAGAAGGUUUUUCAUGCUCUUCGUUUCUCUGGUUCGGCUUGCAAAGAACCUCUCUUCCUCCAAUUGUUAGGCUUUGUUUCGUUUCGCAAUAAGGAGGCGUUGUUUUCUCUCCUUCUAUUUCUUUGGUUUUGG